rnacentral:rRNA from 1 species
CCCUUAGAUGUUCUGGGCGGCCCGCGCACUACAAUGUCGUGUGCAGCGAGUGCCGAAGUAGAGUUUUCCGAGGUAUUCUUGCAAUGCUCGUUUUGAUGGGGAUAGACCCUUGCAACUGUUGGUUUUGAACGAGGAAUUCCUUGUAAGCAUGGUUUAUCAUCCGACGCUGAAUGCGUCCCUGCCCUUUGUACACACCGCCCGUCGCUCCUACCGAUGAGUCGUCCGGUGAAGUUCGUAGACCUCGUGAUCGCGGAUCACUGGGGGAAGCAAAAUGAACCUCGCGGUUUAGAGGAAGGAGAAGUCGUAACA